rnacentral:rRNA from 1 species
UACGUAGGGUGCGAGCGUUGCCCGGAUUUAUUGGGCGUAAAGGGCGCGUAGGCGGUGAGAUGCGUCCGUUGUGAAAUCGCCCGGCUCAACUGGGCGGGGUCAGCGGAUACGGUCUCACUUGAGCAAGCUAGGGGGCAAUGGAAUUCCCGGUGUAGUGGUGGAAUGCGUAGAUAUCGGGAGGAACACCAGUGGCGAAGGCGGUUGCCUGGGGCUUUGCUGACGCUGAUGCGCGAAAGCGUGGGGAG